GCCCUACCACUCCCGCAACGGGCUCUGGAGGGUGGAAGGGAGACGCUGUGGAGGGCUGGGUCAGGAUGGAAGUGGUUUUUGGGGGUGCACCAGUCUGGCCAGGGGGGAGUUCCUCUGUCCCAAGGUCUAUCAAUGAGUAACCCCUGUGAAAGCCUUGCAGACACAUGAUCUCAGCACGCCACAGAGGCCAGUGGCAGGAAACCGACCCACCAUGAAACCGGAGUACCUGGAGAAAACCCACGAAGCCACGGGGAGAACAUGCAAACUCCACACAGGCGAGGUCGGAUUUGAACCUGGGUCCUGUGAGGCACAUGUGCUAACCAGUCACCACUGUGCUGCCAGUAAAACCACACGAGAAAACCAGUUAUGGGAAAACUGCAAAAGGGAGCGACAGGACGAGCUCCUGGGUCUUCAGAACUCUUGACAAAAGCUGUUCCUUCAAUACUUUGUCCCACAGAUAUUCAUCUUACCAGUUGAAAAGUGAAGACAGCAAAAAGUUGGGGCUUGAAAAUAACUUUUCAACUACAAAGAAACACCUCACAACAGGGUAGACAAAAAGAAAGUUUAAAAGGAAAAGUGAAAUAGUAGGAAAGGAGCGACUUCCACAUUGAGGUCGCAUGUGAGAAAAAUGUAUUGUAUGUGGAUAGACCAAAUAUAGAGCUUGUGUAUUCAUUUACCAGCUACAAAAAACAUUAUCAUCUUACAGUAUGCAACAAAAAAUCAAUCGCUAUUGAAAAUGUUUUGAUAGAAGAUGAAAUAAUUUAUAAUCCCAAAGACACUAAAAUGGGGUCUUUCAAAAUUUGCAGAGCAAAAGUUUUCAUGCCACAUCCUUUUACCUUGUUGUCGCAUCUUUUAAAAGAAAGCUGACUUCAUCACUGCACCACAAGAGUUUGACAAAAAUGAACACUAAAGCUCUUGAAUCCUUUUUUUUUUGUUUGCUCAAUGGCAAAAUGAAUAAAUGAUAUUCUUGCCUUGUUUCAAGCUCAGCUAUAACACAGAGAUGUUCAGACACUUUGAGGAUGCCUAACAUUCAGAAAUAUCAGGAGGUGCUCCGCGUUUCUGUUGACGGACAGGAAGAUCAAAAACCAAACCCCUUAAAUGCUGCUGCCCUCGAGAAUAAUUUAGUUUUUUCCCCCCUCCCUUUUAAGAUCAUAGCGGAACGUGACAAUCGUGCCAUCUUUUCUGUGUGCUCUAGUUUCAUUUAUUUUGCUAAUGAUAAAGCACUGUAUUGACAACUUUCAAGGCACUUUGUCUCUUGAAUAAACAAAUAUGCACACACCCACACACACACACACAUAUAUAUAUAUAUAUAUAUAUAUAUAUAUCGGAACAUAUCUUGUGGUGAUGUUGAUGACAGCUGAUGGUUGAAAGACACGGGAAACCUAUCAAAGAUUCAAAUGAAGAUUUUGCAAAGAAGACAGGGGUGGAUGUAUGCUAAUCA